AGUCGAACGGUGAAGCCAAGCUUGCUUGGUGGAUCAGUGGCGAACGGGUGAGUAACACGUGAGCAACCUGCCCUGGACUCUGGGAUAAGCGCUGGAAACGGCGUCUAAUACUGGAUAUGAGCUCCUUCCGCAUGGUGGGGGUUGGAAAGAUUUUUCGGUCUGGGAUGGGCUCGCGGCCUAUCAGCUUGUUGGUGAGGUAAUGGCUCACCAAGGCGUCGACGGGUAGCCGGCCUGAGAGGGUGACCGGCCACACUGGGACUGAGACACGGCCCAGACUCCUACGGGAGGCAGCAGUGGGGAAUAUUGCACAAUGGGCGGAAGCCUGAUGCAGCAACGCCGCGUGAGGGAUGACGGCCUUCGGGUUGUAAACCUCUUUUAGCAGGGAAGAAGCGAGAGUGACGGUACCUGCAGAAAAAGCGCCGGCUAACUACGUGCCAGCAGCCGCGGUAAUACGUAGGGCGCAAGCGUUAUCCGGAAUUAUUGGGCGUAAAGAGCUCGUAGGCGGUUUGUCGCGUCUGCUGUGAAAUCCCGAGGCUCAACCUCGGGCCUGCAGUGGGUACGGGCAGACUAGAGUGCGGUAGGGGAGAUUGGAAUUCCUGGUGUAGCGGUGGAAUGCGCAGAUAUCAGGAGGAACACCGAUGGCGAAGGCAGAUCUCUGGGCCGUAACUGACGCUGAGGAGCGAAAGGGUGGGGAGCAAACAGGCUUAGAUACCCUGGUAGUCCACCCCGUAAACGUUGGGAACUAGUUGUGGGGACCAUUCCACGGUUUCCGUGACGCAGCUAACGCAUUAAGUUCCCCGCCUGGGGAGUACGGCCGCAAGGCUAAAACUCAAAGGAAUUGACGGGGACCCGCACAAGCGGCGGAGCAUGCGGAUUAAUUCGAUGCAACGCGAAGAACCUUACCAAGGCUUGACAUACACCAGAACACCGUAGAAAUACGGGACUCUUUGGACACUGGUGAACAGGUGGUGCAUGGUUGUCGUCAGCUCGUGUCGUGAGAUGUUGGGUUAAGUCCCGCAACGAGCGCAACCCUCGUUCUAUGUUGCCAGCACGUAAUGGUGGGAACUCAUGGGAUACUGCCGGGGUCAACUCGGAGGAAGGUGGGGAUGACGUCAAAUCAUCAUGCCCCUUAUGUCUUGGGCUUCACGCAUGCUACAAUGGCCGGUACAAAGGGCUGCAAUACUGUGAGGUGGAGCGAAUCCCAAAAAGCCGGUCCCAGUUCGGAUUGAGGUCUGCAACUCGACCUCAUG
rnacentral:rRNA from 1 species